GAAUUUCUUCACUUCCUCAGGGAAGUCUUCCCGACCUCUUGACUGGGUCGGAUCCUCUCAUACAGCUUUCCUUUCACAAGACUCAGCCUAAUCAGAUGCACUGCCCUAGAGUCAGACCUGAGAGUUAAUGAAACAAAGGACCCUUCCCAGCUGUGACAGGAUGACAGUCACGGUCACCCGCCGUGUCACGAGUGUCGGCGUGGUGGCUGUGGUGUCCGCGGUCCAGUGUGGGCAGUACAAGCAGCACUGCCCUGUAUUCUUUAUCCCUGUCUCCUCCAGCUCCCUGUAAACCAGGAUCCACCUCCUCGAGGACUCCGAAUUCUCAUUCCACUACAGACUCCUGCUCCAGCGCUGCCAUGUACCUACCACCUCUGCAGAGUCCCAGUUUAUCGUGACCAGCCUCUCACUGCUGAGAAUGAAUGACUUCUCCAUCAGAGGACGGGGCCAUCUUAUGCCUGUUUUUCUCUGAAUCUGGUAGCAGUAGGAGGCAGAUAUCCUUUUCAGAAAGCGACGUUUGCUUGAUGACAUCCCAUCUUGUGACAUCAUUUCUGGCUUCUGUGCCUGGGGACAUCUGAGGAUCAUUGCAUAUUUCCCAAUCCCAACUGUCCCUGGAAUAUGUGUUCUCUGGGCUCCAUCUCUGACCUUCUGUGCUUGUAUACCCUUGGCUGGCUCAUUCCCAGUGGUAAGAGAUACUGUCAGCAAGACAAUCACUUAAUACUCCCCCUACCCCCACCAACUAGUUUCGACCUGUUUAUCCUCCAAGGACCCUGAUGGACCACAUUUCAGGCAUUCCCACUACCUCUUCUUUUGGCAACUCCUAUCCAAGCCUCUACACUAUUGCCCACCAUCUGUAGUCAGCCAAAUGCAAGUUAUGAACCAGCUGAUGGUGGGUCACAGUUCCUUGGUUGUAAGCAAGAAAAAUCAACUUCAGUGAAUCAGACAAAAGGAGAAGCUUGUUGAAACACAGGUCGCUCACAGGGUAGACAGGAGACUGGGUACCCAGCUUUGAAAUGGGACAGGAACCAACAGAAACCGGUGAAGUGUUGCACCUGAGAGUCACUGAUGGGUAUGCUCCAAGUGUUCAUUGCUGAUGAUGCCUUGUUCUCUUCAAGAAUCACAGUCUCAUGGGAAUUCCCUACCAGUCAAGUGGUUAAGACUUUGUACUCUAGGAUCCCACAAGCCAUGUGGC
ensembl:lncRNA